rnacentral:rRNA from 1 species
UACGGAGAGUGCGAACGUUGUUCGGAUUCACUGGGCGUAAAGGGCACGUAGGCGGCUUGGCAAAUCGGUCGUGGAAUCCCGACGCUUACCGUCGGAACGGCGGCCGAAAAUACCGAGCUCGAGGGCGUGAGGGGUCACUGGAACUCCUGGCGAAGCGGUGAAAUGCGUAGAUAUCAGGAGGAACGCCGGAGGCGAAAGCGAGUGACUGGCGCGUUCCUGACGCUGAGGUGCGAAAGCUAGGGGAGCAAACAGG